rnacentral:rRNA from 1 species
UACGAAGGGGGCUAGCGUUACUCGGAUUGACUGGGCGUAAAGGGCGCGUAGGCGGUUUGUAGAGUCAGACGUGAAAUUCCUGGGCUCAACCUGGGGGCUGCGUUUGAUACGUGCGGACUUGAGUUCGGAAGAGGGUCGUGGAAUUCCCAGUGUAGAGGUGAAAUUCGUAGAUAUUGGGAAGAACACCGGUGGCGAAGGCGGCGACCUGGUCCGAUACUGACGCUGAGGCGCGAAAGCGUGGGGAGCAAACAGG